rnacentral:hammerhead_ribozyme from 1 species
AUCCAGCCGACGGGUCCCAAAUCUAACGAAACGCGCGUCCUGGAU